rnacentral:tRNA from 1 species
GUUUUAAUAGUUUAAGAAAAACACUGAUCUUGUAAAUCAGAAAUAUGUAAUAACUUUUAAAACU